rnacentral:rRNA from 1 species
AUUGAACGCUGGCGGCAGGCUUAACACAUGCAAGUCGAGCGGGGUGAUGGUGCUUGCACUAUCACUUAGCGGCGGACGGGUGAGUAAUGCUUAGGAAUCUGCCUAUUAGUGGGGGACAACAUCUCGAAAGGGAUGCUAAUACCGCAUACGUCCUACGAGAGAAAGCAGGGGAUCACUUGUGACCUUGCGCUAAUAGAUGAGCCUAAGUCGGAUUAGCUAGUUGGUGGGGUAAAGGCCUACCAAGGCGACGAUCUGUAGCGGGUCUGAGAGGAUGAUCCGCAACACUGGGACUGGGAGACGGCCCAGACUCCUACGGGAGGCAGCAGUGGGGAAUAUUGGACAAUGGGGGGAACCCUGAUCCAGCCAUGCCGCGUGUGUGAAGAAGGCCUUAUGGUUGUAAAGCACUUUAAGCGAGGAGGAGGCUCUUUUGGUUAAUACCCAAGAUGAGUGGACGUUACUCGCAGAAUAAGCACCGGCUAACUCUGUGCCAGCCGCCGCCGUAAUAC